AUGAGAUUUCCCCUAACAACCGAGUCACCCUUUGGACACCGACUGAAUAACAUGGCCGCGCAAAGAUGGCAGCUCAUUUGCAUCGUCUGCGCGCGAGGUAAUAGAAACUUUCAUAUUGGAUUCAAAUCUUUAUAAAAGGAAAAAAAACUUGAAUAAAGAAAAUUGAAAUAAAAGAUCUGAUUGACUGUCUGACGAUGAAGGAAAAUAUGCAAUUAUGUAAAAUAGUGCCCAGUUCUUUGGCUCACUCACUAAGAGGCCUGAAAGUAAAACAGAUUCUAUCUACAAGAUCAAUGCAAAAGGAACUAUUCAAAUGAAGAUGGUUUGACAGAAAGCAGAAAUUAGAAAUAUUUAUGUAAAAUUUAAAAAUGCUGUAUUACGCAUCAAUAAAAGUUCAAUUUAUUAUAUUCUG